rnacentral:rRNA from 1 species
CAGUCCCCGCGGUAAUACAGAGGGUGCGAGCGUUAAUCGGAUUUACUGGGCGUAAAGCGUGCGUAGGCGGCUUCUUAAGUCGGAUGUGAAAUCCCUGAGCUUAACUUAGGAAUUGCAUUCGAUACUGGGAAGCUAGAGUAUGGGAGAGGAUGGUAGAAUUCCAGGUGUAGCGGUGAAAUGCGUAGAGAUCUGGAGGAAUACCGAUGGCGAAGGCAGCCAUCUGGCCUAAUACUGACGCUGAGGUACGAAAGCAUGGGGAGCAAACAGGAUUAGAUACCCCAGUAGUCCCUGUCUCUUAUAA